rnacentral:tRNA from 1 species
GCCCGGAUGGCGAAAUUGGUAGACGCAUGGGACUUAAAAUCCCUUGGCCUAACGGCCGUGCCGGUUCGAGUCCGGCUCCGGGCA